rnacentral:rRNA from 1 species
UACGUAGGAUGCAAGCGUUGUUCGGAAUUACUGGGCGUAAAGAGUACGUAGGCGGUUUGACAAGUCUGAUAUUAAAGACUGGGGCUUAACCUCAGGACCGUAUCGGAAACUGUCAGACUAGAGGACAAUAGAGGAAGUCGGAAUUCUCAGUGUAGCGGUGAAAUGCGUAGAUAUUGGGAAGAACACCAGUGGCGAAAGCGGAACUUCUGGGUUGUUACUGACGCUGAGGUACGAAAGCGUGGGGGAGCAAACGGG